GUAAACAUUAGGGGGAAUGCACUAUGCAGUGUCCACAUAUGAGGGUCCGGUGUAGUCCUCUGUGUCUCCUCUGUGUCUCUCUCUGCCAAGGUGAACAGAUUCAGGCACCCAAUCCAUUAUCCUGUCAACAACAGCAGGUCCCUGCCACAGUUAGCAGCAACACUGGCCGUAAUGAAAUCAUCAGUAAUCCCAAAACUCAUCUUAUCAUACCCAAGGUACAAGUUCUUAUCUUUUCUCGGACUGUAUGAUACCAUGACAAAACAGUUAAACAACAGGCUGUGGACACCAGUGGAAGACACAGGCUGUAGUCUUCAACAGUGAAUUACCUGUAGUACAUUUGCCUGCAGCUUCUACCAACAGAUACAUUUGUGCCAAAAUACAGAAAUACAGUUUGAUUGGAUGGAACCUUUACAUGAACAACAAAAUAUGAACAGAACUAUGACCCUUUUUUGUGUCCCGACCCACCAGUUGCACAACAGUUACAGGUGAGAGAGAGAGUCGCUUUGUGAUUGGCUGCCCUUCUGCUCCAUAUUCAGAGGUGCUGGAUGAGGCAGAGUGCCCGCAGGGAAAAUGGCGUUGUAAUCAGGAGCCGGCUGUGCUGCCUGAUCAGGUCUUGUACCACCAUGAUGGCACAGUUACUGGUCCACCCCACUUCUAUAUUUAAAUGGAUUGAGCUCAACAAAACAGGGACACUGAGCCCCCCUCUUACCGGGAUCAUCUGUCUGCCUGGUGGACGAGCUGCGUCCUGCCCACUGCACCCAAUUCACAUAGAAAUUUACUCAAAUACUACAGCCUGGGAAGCGUGGGACCGUGGCCAGGCAGCAGCUGCUGACCGGCCAGUGCUGACCUGUGCGCUUAGGCGAACUGGAUUUCACCACACGCCCACCGGCCUGGCCCUGCAUACCUCCACAGGCGGACAGUGGUUAUGUGUGUCCCAGCAUGCCCAGUGUAGCCACGUGGACAUGGAUGCAUGGAAGUGUGCAAACAACAAAAGCAAAAAGGAAAAUACAGUCAGAUCAGUGUAAUUUUUAUUGGUGGUCCUAAAAGAGAAG
ensembl:lncRNA